CCACCCGAGCAUCAUCUGUGCAUCUAUUAUCCAUGCUAUUUCUUAUAUAGAUCUGAAUUAUUUUGUGUCAACAAGACUCUGCAUUUGGCAAACUAGCUUUCUCAUCUCCAAGACAAGGUUGCAAUAACCAUGAGAGAAUUGCUUUUUUCUAAAUGUUAAGAAACUCAUCAGGGAAUUGUUUAUUGGUGAGACAUUUUUUAUUUACCAAGACAACUUUCUUUGGUUUGUA